GUGGAGUUGAGCAGUUCUUCCAGCCUGCGCGGAACGUCGUUCUCCUGGUAGUACUCCAGCGCCUGCUGCUUCAGCUUCUGCAACUCCCUAGUGGUCCCACAGCUGCGGCCGCCGCCUUCUUCCCCCAUGAUGGAGAGUGUCGGCGUGUAUGGAUUCUGUGGGUGUACAGCAAAGAACAAGAUGAAGUGUGAUUCGAGGUGGGAAGUAACCGCCACAGGACACUCAAACACACGUGAAGUGUUCAGCACAGUGCCUGGCACAGAUUAAGCAUCGCUCAGUGUGAGCCGUGAUGAAAGGUUAUGAGACGUGCGAAGAUUCACAUAAUCCCACGUUAGCUAAGGAUUUUUCCAGAGUACAUGAACUAUUUAUGGGAUUUUAAAACAGAAGUGGAAGAAAUCCCAUGUGACCAUCUCUCUGGUGCUUUACUCUGCUCCCUGACACUUCUGUCCCCCACGUGCUGGGACAGUUGCAAUGAAGGGAGGCACAGGAGCCCUCAAGGCAGCUUAUUGCAUCUGUUGGCAGCUCUGAUUCUCAGAAAGUUCUUCCUUAGACUGUCUGCUUAUAGUUUCUGACAGUUACAUUUUGUUUGUCUAUUCAUUCAACCAACACUUAUUAAGCACCUCCUAUAUACCAGGCCCUGUGAUAAAUUUUGGGGAGACAGCAGUGAAGGGAAGCUGGCAGGGUCCCUUCAUGGAGCUAGUAAUUUAGUGAGGUCCUCAGACUGUAACCCAAGAAUUAGACAAAUAUAUCAUCACAAAUUGGAGUGCGCUGGAGGCUAUGAGCAUGCACAGCAGAGAUGAGGGGGCAGUGUCCCUGGGAGGUGACAGUGAAACGAGCAGUGAAGGAUGUGUAGGAGAUAUUGGGGGUGUGGGGCGGGCGGGGGAGCAGGCCUGACGGAGGAGCAGGGUCUGCUGCGGGGCCGCACGGGGCAUCUGAUUCCCUUUCCAUGUGUGAGCCCUUCAAAUAUCUGCGGUUGGCUCCUUCCCCGGAGUCCUUCUGUUUUACUCCCAGUCUCUUCAGUUUGUCUUCCUGUGAAGAGAUUUUACAGCCUUUCGUCUUUCUGAGAUCGAGUUUGUUUUCGAUACCCCCCUUUUAUAAUAAUUUUAUUGAGCUGUAAUUCACACACCAUACAGUUCACCCAUUUGAAGUGUACAAUUCAAUAAUUUUUAUUGUAUCACAGAAUUGUGUAGCCAUCACCAAAUCAACUUCAAAGCAUUUUCAUCACCCCAAAAGGAAACUCCUAUACCCAUUAGCUCACUCUCCAUUUCCCCCCAAAACCCCAGCCCUGGGAAACCACUGAUUGCUUUCCGUCACUAUAGAACUGCCUAUUCUGGACACUUCAUAGAAAUGGAGUCAUAGUCUGUGGGCUUUUGUAACUGCUCCUUUCAUUUAGCACCAUGUUUUUAAGGUUCAUCCGUGUGGUAGCAUGUAUCAGCACUUCACUGCUUUUUACUGCUGGAUGAUAUUCCAUUGUACGCAUGUG